GUAAGUUUAGUUAGACAUCGCAUGGCAGAGCGGGUCUGCGGUGGAUUUUAAGGGGCUCGGAGACGAGCAGGCGAUGCCCAUUUCAGAGCAGGAAGACGCUGUGCUUUCUUAGGUGCCCAUCCUGGCACCGCCACUGCCGGCGAAGCUGUUGGACUUGGGAGGGGAUAGAGCUGUGUGUAAAUGAGAAGAGAGGAGUGCACCGGAGUGCUAUGGAGGGCAGCAAGUUUGUUGCUGUGACUUUCACAAGCCUUCAAGGAAUUUCCAUGGAGUUGGACUGAAAUAAAGUAUUGGGAUGUCUCUAUUUGGAUUAAAAUUUGGAAAGCAGAAAUUGAAAGAGGAAGAGAGACAACUUCAAGCAAACAACCGGGAUUUUAAUCUGCAGUUUGAAUAUGCU